UUGAAACAUUGGUUCCCGUAUGAUCACAGAAGUUACGCAACGUCAAUUCUUGUCAGUACCUAGAUGGGUGACCGCUUGGGAAUACCAGGUGUUGUAAG